GGGCUUGUAGUUCAAUGGAAGAAUGUUGCCUUCGCAGGGCAGAGAUGCGGGUUCAAUUCCCGCCAAGUCCA
rnacentral:tRNA from 1 species